rnacentral:rRNA from 1 species
UACAGAGGUCUCAAGCGUUGUUCGGAUUCAUUGGGCGUAAAGGGUGCGUAGGUGGCGCCGUAAGUCAGGUGUGAAAUCUCGGGGCUCAACCCCGAAACUGCACUUGAUACUGCGGUGCUCGAGUACUGGAGAGGAGAUUGGAAUUUACGGUGUAGCAGUGAAAUGCGUAGAUAUCGUAAGGAAGACCAGUGGCGAAGGCGAAUCUCUGGACAGUUACUGACACUGAGGCACGAAGGCCAGGGGAACAAACGGG